rnacentral:rRNA from 1 species
AUUGAACGCUGGCGGCAGGCCUAACACAUGCAAGUCGAGCGGAUGAAGGGAGCUUGCUCCUGGAUUCAGCGGCGGACGGGUGAGUAAUACCUAGGAAUCUGCCUGGUAGUGGGGGAUAACGUCCGGAAACGGGCGCUAAUACCGCAUACGUCCUGAGGGAGAAAGUGGGGGAUCUUCGGACCUCACGCUAUCAGAUGAGCCUAGGUCGGAUUAGCUAGUUGGUGGGGUAAAGGCCUACCAAGGCGACGAUCCGUAACUGGUCUGAGAGGAUGAUCAGUCACACUGGAACUGAGACACGGUCCAGACUCCUACGGGAGGCAGCAGUGGGGAAUAUUGGACAAUGGGCGAAAGCCUGAUCCAGCCAUGCCGCGUGUGUGAAGAAGGUCUUCGGAUUGUAAAGCACUUUAAGUUGGGAGGAAGGGCAGUAAGUUAAUACCUUGCUGUUUUGACGUUACCAACAGAAUAAGCACCGGCUAACUUCGUG